GACUUGGUUGAAGAGCCUUUGGGUUGCAAAACAACCCAAAUGAUGAAAUAUGAAAGACUUUGAAUCCAGUUAUAAAGAUUUGCUCAACAUCAUAAAUUGGACUCCACUGGUUUUGAAGAAUGUCCAAACAUAUGCUUCGAUCUGCGUAAAUUGGUUGGUGUAAAAAAAUGAAAAUGUCAAUCUGGAUUACAUUUUAGUGAUGAUGGAUCAAAGGGUAGAACUUAAAACAAAUACAAAUCCUUGAUAUAAAACAACUAUUGAAAUGAAAAGAUGAAUCUCCCCGUAUUCAUCUUCAAUCACCAUUUCAGAAUCAACUUUCGGUAAAAACAACUUCCCAAACCACAGUGGA
rnacentral:lncRNA from 1 species